GUCCAGACUCCUACGGGAGGCAGCAGUGGGGAAUAUUGCACAAUGGGGGAAACCCUGAUGCAGCGACGCCGCGUGAGUGGAGAAGUAUUUCGGUAUGUAAGGCUCUAUCAGCAGGGAAGAAAAUGACGGUACCUGACUAAGAAGCCCCGGCUAACUACGUGCCAGCAGCCGCGGUAAUACGUAGGGGGCAAGCGUUAUCCGGAUUUACUGGGUGUAAAGGGAGCGUAGACGGCAUGGCAAGUCAGAUGUGAAAGCCCGGGGCUCAACCCCGGGACUGCAUUUGAAACUGUCAGGCUGGAGUGCAGGAGAGGUAAGUGGAAUUCCUAGUGUAGCGGUGAAAUGCGUAGAUAUUAGGAGGAACACCAGUGGCGAAGGCGGCUUACUGGACGGUAACUGACGUUGAGGCUCGAAAGCGUGGGGAGCAAACAGGAUUAGAUACCCGUGUAUCG
rnacentral:rRNA from 1 species